CCAUCAGAGGAGAGCCGCCAUUUGGCGAAGGACGGAGAGGAGGCAUGCCAUCCUGGCACGCUCGAUCUAAAGAGAGGCUCGACGGAUUGACUAGUUUGGUCUAGCUACCGGAAGACACGGAUGUCAACACACUGAGGUGCAGUGAGAGGCUGGGAGGAGUUCCACUUCACCAGAUUUGCAGACACACACCUGUGGCAGCUUGGCAAUCAGUGCCGACUUCAAAGCUUUGGUCUUCACGCGACCUGCUGACAGAUGAUCUUGCAACAUUGAAGUGUGAUCUGCUACAUCCCCAGCUGUCAGUGGCUCCACAUCCAGCAACCCAGCUUUCUGCGCCUCUGCAGCCUUCGUCCUCCACACACCAGCUGGUCCACCAAUACCCUGUUGAGCAAACUGUCCUACAAAUACCUUUCCCCUCUCCGGUGGACUCUCCAACAGGGGUUCUGAUACACCUUGCCCUGCAUAUUCCACUGCUGAACAAAUAAUAAAUGUCCCUGCAAUCAACUCCUGCCUCGCUGGCCACUUUUGGGUCCUGUCCGCCACCAUACAGCAUAACACGCCCUCUAGUAGUAAAGAAUGGCCUGUCCAAAUACACACCCAUCUCAUUUGUACAGCAGCAUUUCCUUGUAGUUAAUUGUUAUCCUACAAUUGCUUUCAGCCCUUUUCAUACAUCAUCCCCAUACCUAUAUUAGAAAAGAUGAAAGUGAUCAGCACUGUGCUCUCCCCAGAGUUUCCAGGCAGAGCUACAGAACAUGUGGGAGCUGUUAUUUCAAUCUGGGUGUUAUGAAGAAUCUGACCAUAUUUUUCAACCAACGUUGUUGAGCUGAGCUGAAGUAUUUCUACGCCUCACCAUACCUUGGAACAAUAUUGAUAUUACUCUUGUGUAUAUGUUUUUGUAUGCAUUGCACAGGGUUGCCAUGAUUCUAUUCAACUCAAUAGGUAAAUCCAGCUUAAUUUUUUUACAGUAAAAUAGUAUCUCUCUUCUUUA